CUUUUGUCCUGAAUGUCAACGCAACUGUUUUUGUUGUUUUCCCUGCUGCAGGCGUCAGUGCAACGUCAGAAGACAUCCCCAACAAGAUCGAGGACCUGCGGUCAGAGUGCAGCUCAGACUUCGGAGGGAAGGACUCUGUGACCAGUCCAGAUGGGGAGGAGUCAGGCCACGGAGCACAUCAUCUGACUUCUCAACCCUCACAGGCCGAUUCCUUAUUGGCCAUGUUUGAUCCUCUCUCCUCCGGUGAAGGCUCCUCCACUGGAACAAUAGUGAGACCCAAAGUGCACUACGCCAGGCCCCCUCACCC